UUAUUAUUACAAGUGGAUAGUUAAUUACCACUUGCCACUAUGUACACUCACUACUACUAUAGGGCUGAUAAUAGCAGCAAAAAAUUAGCAGCCGUUUUUGAAACCACCGCAAAAACAACAAAUUCGCAGCGGUUAUGAGCUGCAGUUUGGCCACUGCUACAAAGCUGCUGAUAGCAGUGGUUCAAUUUAAACAGCUACAAAUCAAUCAUUUUGGGUAUAUAUUUUAUUAUAAUUAUUAAAACACUAACACCACUACACUAGCUAUAUACUACUCUUCUGAAAACACUCACCGGGCUCCAAUCCCUCUUCUCCAUCGUUAUACACUCCCCACUAGCCCUAACUCUCAGCCCUAACUCCCAUAGCCCUCCCACCGUCGAAGCCUUCGCCUCUUGCCUCUCGCCUCUCGCCUUUCGCUGCUCUCGCCGUUGAAGAUCUCCUCAUCUCCUCGCGCCGCCAGAAAGUCGUAUCGGGGCUGCUGUCGCGUCGCCAUCUCUGUCCUCGUUGUCAAGCCUAGACCUAUCCUCGUCCGUUCGGAGCUGCUGCUUGUCCGUCUUCUCUUCUCCUAUACAGCGGAGAUCUCCACUCGAUUCGUGUUCUCUCUCUUUAUUCGACAUCCGUUCUUAACUACUCUGCCUCCUCGUUGAGAUCCACCGUCAAAUCCUCUCCAACGAUGCCAACACUAUUCUCAUGGAAGUUUCUUAUUCUUUUAUUUUUCUAUUUAGUUGAUUUAUCAUUUGUUACAUCUUUGUUUUUUUGCUAUCUAGUUUAAUCUUGGGAAAUGCUUUUAGUAAACUAUUGAGAGAUGAAUUUGCUUUUUUGAGAUUUAGAUAUGGUUGUAAAAUUUGAUUAGAUUCUUUGUAAAAUUCAUGUGUGUUAGGAUUAUCUAUUAGGAAUUAGGUUGAAUUUUUUGAUCUGUUUUAAUUGAUGAGUUUCCAUUUACACUCUUUGUCUUCAGUUCGAAAAAUCUACUGAUAGAACACGGUAUUAUAGUACUAAUUAAUCAAUGUCACUGAAUUAUUUUACAACUUGUAAUGGUAAUAUAACUAAUCAUAUUCUUGCUCAUUGAAGGUUAUUACACAUUGAUGGAACGUAGAAAUAGUGCUAACACAGUUGAAAAUGGUGUAGAUCAUUCUCAAGUUUAAUGUAGUGGAGAUCAGAAAGAUACAAUUGUCUGGAGAUUUUACCAAUCUGUCAGUUUUUAAUGAAAGUAUUACUGAGGACAGGGUUAUUUUUCCAACAGUAGACGUAGAGCUAUCUUUCUUUCAGGAGCAUGUUGAAGAAAAAAGCCAAUUUAAUAACUUCUGGUGUUUGAUUGAAAGAAUUCAAGGUGAAAGAGCAACAUUUAAUUCCGAAGUUGAAUUUUGUUCCAAGUUGUGCUCACAUGCUGAUCAUAUAAUGGAAACCAUCCAGAGGCAUUUCAAGAAUGAAGAAGUUCAGGUUCUUCCGUUUGCACAGAAGCACUUUAGUAUCGAAAGGCAACGUGAACUUCUGUAUCAAAGCUUGUGCAUGAUACCUCUGAAAUUGAUUGAAUGUGUGCUACCAUGGUUGGUUGGAUCAUUGACUAAAACUGAAGCAAAGAUGUUUCUGAAAAAUAUGUAAUUAGCAGCUCCAGCAACAAAGUCUGCUUUAGUCACCCUCUUUUGUGGUUGGACUUGCAAGGCUCGUAACUAUGGUCUGUGUUUGUCUUCAAGUGCAUUAGGUUGCUAUCAUGCUCAAACAUUUGCUGACAUUGAAGAGAAUAUUGUUCAGCCCUCCUGUGACCGUAGGCCAUAGCUAAUUUGAUUGCUUUAUGUGCAAGAUAUUGGAAGUGCCUAAACCUUUCCUUAUUCAAUUUUUAGCUUGCUUUGGUGAUUUUUUUGUAAUAUGUUUUACUUUAUUGCAAUAUUAUUUCUAUAGAAAUUGAUUAUAAUUAUUUAAUUUCAUGUUUUAGAUAAAACUAUAUUCUAUGCUCUAUGAAUGUUGGUGAUAUAUCAUAUAUUAUUUCAUGCAGAGCACAUUUCACAGGUGAGUUAAUCUUAUUUAAAUGUGAUAUAGAGCUUAUUAUUUUUGAAUAGUUUUACUUUGGUGCUUGAAAUUGAAUUAAACAUUUUGGAAAUGCUUUUUGGUAUCAGUUUAAUGAAGAGGCACGCUUUCAAUACAUCAAGAAGUACAAGACCAUCAUACAUCCAAGAGAGGUACAUAUUCACCUUUCAUAUUGAUAGAAAUCCAAGAGCGGAUUCCUUUCUAUUAUAUGAAUUUUGACUUCAAUUCCUUGAUCUUUUCUGACAAAUAACAAGCUUAUGCAAUUUUUGUCCGGCUUUACUUUUUUGCCUUUAUUUUCUUUUGUUAUGGUCAUUAUUAUAUUUUGACUUGAACUUGAUUAUGUUGAUAAUCGAUGGGAUGGUAGUUUAUCUGAUCUAUGAUCUAUUUUAUAGGUAAUACAUAGUCGAAAAAGUUAUAGUAUGGCCUUGGCUUGAGAAAGCUUUGGAUACAAUGAGUGUGGCUUUUUUGUUCUAUUUUUUAUUUAUUAUUUAUCUUUUAUUGAAUCCUUGUAUUCAAUUAUGUGUUAUUGGACUUUUGAAAGAAUGAAUUGCUACUUGAAUAUUCCUAAGAGUUGCACUUUCUUGG